UACGGAGGGUGCGAGCGUUGUCCGGAAUCACUGGGCGUAAAGGGCGCGUAGGCGGCCUGGCAAGUCGAUGGUGAAAGCCCGAGGCUCAACUUCGGGUCGGCCACUGAUACUGCUGGGCUUGAGUCGACUAGAGGCAGAUGGAAUUCCGGGUGUAGCGGUGGAAUGCGUAGAGAUCCGGAAGAACACCGGUGGCGAAGGCGGUCUGCUGGGGUCGAACUGGACGCUGAGGCGCGACAGCGUGGGGAGCAAACGAGGAUUAGAAACCCGGGGUAGGUCCAAGAACCGA
rnacentral:rRNA from 1 species